rnacentral:lncRNA from 1 species
GGACCUUUAAGGCUCAUUACACAUGGUACUCUAUGGGAAGGAUUGUCACUGUGGAAGAAAGCCCUGAUAGAACAUGAAAAUCUGGAAAGAUUACACUACUGAAGAUGCCAUUGUUAUUGUGGAAAACAUGCUUAAGGUUAAUGUCUUAAUUUUAGCCUUUAAUCUUUUGGGUUAGUAAUGCUACAUAUGAUUAAUCACCUAAUUAAUUUUUGAAUGUUUUAUAUUUCAUGAAAAUAAUAAAUAUACAUUUCUUACUUUAGAAAAUGCUUAAUGAGCAGGAUGCUUUACUCAGUUGCUUUCAUCACA